GACGAACGCUGGCGGCGUGCUUAACACAUGCAAGUCGAACGGAAAGGCCCUGCUUUUGCGGGUUGCUCGAGUGGCGAACGGGUGAGUAACACGUGAGUAACCUCCCCUUGACUUUGGGAUAACUUCAGGAAACUGGGGCUCAUACCGGAUAGGAGCUCCUGCUGCACGGUGGGGGUUGGAAAGAUUCGGCGGUUGGGGAUGUACUCGCGGCUUAUCCGCUUGUUAGUGGGGUAGUGGCUUACCAAGGCUUUGAGGGAUAGCCCACCUGAGAGGGUGACCGGCCUCAUUGGUACUGAGAUACGCAGCAGACGCGUACGGGAGGCAGCAGGCGGGAGUAUUGCACAGUGGCCGGGAGCCUGAUACGGCAACCCCGCGUGCGGGAUGCCGGCCUUCGGGUUGAAAACCGCUUUCGCCGGUGACGAAGCGUGAGUGACGGUAAUGGGUAAAGAAGCACCGGCUAACUACGUG
rnacentral:rRNA from 1 species